rnacentral:rRNA from 1 species
GACGAACGCUGGCGGCGUGCCUAAUACAUGCAAGUAGGACGCAGUUGCGAACGGGUGAGUAACGCGUAGGUAACUACCUAUUAGAGGGGGAUAACUAUUGGAAACGAUAGCUAAUACCGCAUACUAGUAGAUGGAACUGCGUUGUAUUAGCUAGUAGGUAGGGUAAUGGCCUAACUAGGCAACGAUACAUAGCCGACCUGAGAGGGUGAUGGGCCAACAUGGGACUGAGACCAGGCCCAGAAUCCUAAGGGAGGGCGCAGUAGGGAAACUUUGGAAAUGGGGGGAAAGCUGACCAAGCAACGCCGCGGGAGUGAAGAAGGUUUUCGGAUCGUAAAGCUCUGUUGUUAAGGAAGCGGUACUUAACCAGAAAGGGACGGCUAACUACGUGCCAGCAGCCGCGGUAAUAC